AACGAACGCUGGCGGCAUGCCUAACACAUGCAAGUCGAGCGAGACCUUCGGGUCUAGUGGCGCACGGGUGCGUAACGCGUGGGAACCUGCCCUUAGGUUCGGAAUAACUCCCCGAAAGGGGUGCUAAUACCGGAUAAUGUCUUCGGACCAAAGAUUUAUCGCCUUUGGAUGGGCCCGCGUUGGAUUAGCUAGUUGGUAGGGUAAAAGCCUACCAAGGCGACGAUCCAUAGCCGGUCUGAGAGGAUGAUCAGCCACACUGGGACUGAGACACGGCCCAGACUCCUACGGGAGGCAGCAGUGGGGAAUAUUGGACAAUGGGCGAAAGCCUGAUCCAGCAAUGCCGCGUGAGUGAUGAAGGCCUUAGGGUUGUAAAGCUCUUUUACCCGGGAUGAUAAUGACAGUACCGGGAGAAUAAGCGCCGGCUAACUCCGUG
rnacentral:rRNA from 1 species